rnacentral:rRNA from 1 species
AUGCCCGAUCUCAUCUGAUCUCGGAAAAUA